rnacentral:rRNA from 1 species
GACGAACGCUGGCGGCGUGCUUAACGCAUGCAAGUCGAACGGAAAGGCCCUGCUUUUGUGGGGUGCUCGAGUGGCGAACGGGUGAGUAACACGUGAGUAACCUGCCCUUGACUUUGGGAUAACUUCAGGAAACUGGGGCUAAUACCGGAUAGGAGCUCCUGCUGCAUGGUGGGGGUUGGAAAGUUUCGGCGGUUGGGGAUGGACUCGCGGCUUAUCAGCUUGUUGGUGGGGUAGUGGCUUACCAAGGCUUUGACGGGUAGCCGGCCUGAGAGGGUGACCGGCCACAUUGGGACUGAGAUACGGCCCGGACUCCUACGGGAGGCAGCAGUGGGGAAUAUUGCACAAUGGGCGGAGGCCUGAUGCAGCAACGCCGCGUGCGGGAUGACGGCCUUCGGGUUGUAAACCGCUUUCGCCUGUGACGAAGCGUGAGUGACGGUAAUGGGUAAAGAAGCACCGGCUAACUACGUG